rnacentral:rRNA from 1 species
UUGGUUAAGUCAGGCAACGAGCGAGAUCCGCACCUUUAUUUGCCACCAAGAAGUCACGACUUCGUUGGGAACACUAAAGGGACCGCCGUCGAUAAGACGGAGGAAGGAGCGGGCAAAGGCAGGUCAGUAUGCCCCGAAACCCCUGGGCUACACGCGGGCUGCAAUGGUAUGAACAAUGGGCUGUGACUCCGAAAGGAGAAACCAAUCCCGAAAUCAUAUCUCAGUUGGAAUUGUCGGCUGUAACCCGCCGACAUGAACGCGGAAUCCCUAGUAAUCGUGUGUCAUCAUCGCACGGUGAAUACGUCCCUGCUCCUUGCACA